GCCUGCUUCUCCCGCUCCCACUCCCCCUGCUUGUGCUCUCUCUCACUAUCUCUGUCUCUCUGUCUCUCUCUCUCAUAAGCAAAUAAAAUCUUUUUUUAAAAGGGAUCUAGAUUAGAAAGGAAGAAAUUAAACUUCAUUCACAGGUAAUAUGAACACGAUCUUUGUUUUUGUUUUUGUUUUCGUAGCUGCUUCUGAAUUUCCUGUGGAAAUGCAAAGGACCCGGAAGAACCAAAACAACCUCAAAGAAGAAAAACAAAGUUGGAGGACGCGGUAUGAGGCUACAGUAUUUAGGACCACGUGAUAUUGUCAAGAUGAAGAGAUCAAGUUAUGCAAAGCCGUCCAGAAAUAGAUCCGCACCUAUAUGACUGAUUGUUUACAAAUGUGAAGAGGCAGUUCGGGGGAAAUUCUCCGCAGGACCCAUCUCUCUGGGUUCUCAGGCUGGAUUUCACGACCCCCGUCCAGCUACACAGGAAGCGGGCAGGAUUCAGAGCUUUCUAGGCUCCCUCGAUACGGCAGCCCACCACGACUUCUCACACCGUCAUUCCUAUCGGAUCAGCAGCUUCUUGGGAGCUGGGGGUAGGAAUCCCCUCGUGCAUCGGAAGGAGACAGAACCGGUCCCGGCGGCAGAGUCACUGUGGUGUGGUGCCCUCUGUGAAGAGGGCAGCUGCAGAGGCCGCGGCAGCCUCCCCUCGCUCACCUUUACAGGAAGCGGCAGGCUGUGUACAGGGAGAUCCCUUCGCCUCACCCGUAGCAACCCCCGAAGUGCUGUGUUAGCGGCUCAGUCCGUGCUCUGCAGUGAAAGCCUGGUGCCCGGGGCCCAGACCUCGCCAGCUGCCAGGUGUAUUCUCCGAGGCCCCGAGGUGCAGAACUCCUCACUAGGCUCCAGAAGAAGUCCCAAAGAGAGUUCAUUUUCCAUGGCCGACGGCCAGACCUGCAGCCUCACAAAGUGAUCACAGAACAGCAGGGCAGGUGCCUCAGUAACUCGCGGGGACAUCAGCUGGUGGCCAAGGGGAAGCGCCCUGGCCGCGCAGCCUCUGGGUCCCCCUCCUGCUCCCGGCCACAUCUCUGGAAGAGCCGCAUCCGGAAUAAAGGACUGGGGAAGCCCGAGUUUACAGCCGCCCCCGAGGAUACGCUCUGUAACUGGCUGGCCUACGGGGACUCGCCAUGAGCAGCAGGGGCCAGGCUGUAUGAGGCCUCUGGGGCGUCGAGACCCACGGCCUCAGACGGACAUGCCUUGAGAGUCGUAGCCGGCCUUGGAAAGGAAGCACACUGUGACACACGGCACACUGGGGGACCCUUGAGGACCUGACGUGCGGGGAAGUAAAGCGGUCACAAGACAAGUUGCGAGUCCACUGAUAGGAGGCGCCUAGAGUCGUCAGAUCCAGAGGGAGAAAGUAGAAAGGCGUCCACCGGGGUGCUGGGAGAGGAAAGCGGCUGUGCGGUUUUACAUGUUCUUCAAGAGUCUCGUGGCUCCUGGUAAGUGCAUUGGUUUGUUUUCACAGUACUCUCCACGGCCGCAGACGGUCCUUAUUGCUGGGGGAGUGUGUCCACGCCAGGGGAGGGGGACACCACAGGG